rnacentral:rRNA from 1 species
UCAAGUAAUUAAGUGCAUGUGGUGGAUGCCUUGGCAGUCAGAGGCGAUGAAAGACGUGAUAGCCUGCGAAAAGCUCCGGGGAGGCGGCAAAUAUCCUUUGAUCCGGAGAUGUCUGAAUGGGGGAACCCACCUACUUUAAGGUAGGUAUUGCAACAUGAAUACAUAGUGUUGCAAGGCGAACGAGGGGAAGUGAAACAUCUCAGUACCCUUAGGAAAAGAAAUCAAUUGAGAUUCCCUCAGUAGCGGCGAGCGAACGGGGAUCAGCCCAUUAAGUUAUGUGUGUUUUAGUGGAACGCUCUGGGAAGUGCGAACGUAGAGGGUGAUAUUCCCGUACACGAAAGGGCACACAUAAUGAUGACGAGUAGGGCGAGGCACGUGAAACCUUGUCUGAAUAUGGGGGGACCAUCCUCCAAGGCUAAAUACUCCUGACUGACCGAUAGUGAACCAGUACCGUGAGGGAAAGGCGAAAAGAACCCCUGUGAGGGGAGUGAAAUAGAUCCUGAAACCGCAUGCAUACAAGCAGUGGGAGCACCUUCGUGGUGUGACUGCGUACCUUUUGUAUAAUGGGUCAGCGACUUAUAUUCAGUAGCGAGGUUAACCGUAUAGGGGAGCCGUAGAGAAAUCGAGUCUUAAUAGGGCGUUUAGUUGCUGGGUAUAGACCCGAAACCAGGCGAUCUAUCCAUGAGCAGGUUGAAGGUUGGGUAACACUAACUGGAGGACCGAACCCACUGUCGUUGAAAAGCCAGGGGAUGACUUGUGGAUAGGGGUGAAAGGCUAAUCAAGCCUGGUGAUAGCUGGUUCUCCCCGAAAGCUAUUUAGGUAGCGCCUCGGACGAAUACCAUAGGGGGUAGAGCACUGUUUCGGCUAGGGGGUCAUCCCGACUUACCAAACCGAUGCAAACUCCGAAUACCUAUGAGUACUAUCCGGGAGACAGACUGCGGGUGCUAACGUCCGUAGUCAAGAGGAAAACAAUCCAGACCGCCAGCUAAGGCCCCAAAAUCAUAGUUAAGUGGGAAACGAUGUGGGAAGGCAUAGACAGCUAGGAGGUUGGCUUAGAAGCAGCCACCCUUUAAAGAAAGCGUAAUAGCUCACUAGUCGAGUCGGCCUGCGCGGAAGAUGUAACGGGGCUAAAACUAUGUGCCGAAGCUGCGGAUGUAUACUUUGUAUACGUGGUAGGGGAGCGUUCUGUAAGCCGAUGAAGGUGUGUUGAGAAGCAUGCUGGAGGUAUCAGAAGUGCGAAUGCUGACGUGAGUAACGACAAAACGGGUGAAAAACCCGUUCGCCGAAAGACCAAGGGUUCCAGUCCAACGUUAAUCGGGGCUGGGUGAGUCGACCCCUAAGGCGAGGCCGAAAGGCGUAGUCGAUGGGAAAAUGGUUAAUAUUCCAUUACUUCUGUGUAAUGCGAUGAGAGGACGGAGAAGGCUAAAUCAGCCUGGCGUUGGUUGUCCAGGUGAAAGGAUGUAGGCAUGUAUCUUAGGCAAAUCCGGGGUACUCUAUGCUGAGAUCUGAUAGCAAGCUGUACUUGUACAGCGAAGUGGUUGAUGCCAUGCUUCCAGGAAAAGUCUCUAAGCUUCAGUUACACAGGAAUCGUACCCGAAACCGACACAGGUGGUCAGGUCGAGUAGACCAAGGCGCUUGAGAGAACUCUGCUGAAGGAACUAGGCAAAAUGGUACCGUAACUUCGGGAGAAGGUACGCUGUUGUUGGUGAUGGAACUCGCUUCCUGAGCUGACGACAGCCGCAGAAACCAGGCCGCUGCAACUGUUUAUUAAAAACAUAGCACUCUGCAAACACGAAAGUGGACGUAUAGGGUGUGAUGCCUGCCCGGUGCUGGAAGGUUAAUUGAUGGGGUUAGCGUAAGCGAAGCUCUUGAUCGAAGCCCCAGUAAACGGCGGCCGUAACUAUAACGGUCCUAAGGUAGCGAAAUUCCUUGUCGGGUAAGUUCCGACCUGCACGAAUGGCAUAAUGAUGGCGGCGCUGUCUCCAGCAGAGGCUCAGUGAAAUCGAAAUCGCUGUGAAGAUGCAGUGUACCCGCGGCUAGACGGAAAGACCCCGUGAACCUUUACUGCAGCUUGACACUGAACUUUGACCUUACUUGUGUAGGAUAGGUGGGAGGCUUUGAAGCUGGAACGCUAGUUCCAGUGGAGCCGUCCUUGAAAUACCACCCUGGUAAUGUUGAGGUUCUAACUCUGUCCCGUGAUCCGGGACGAGGACCGUGUCUGGUGGGUAGUUUGACUGGGGCGGUCUCCUCCUAAAGAGUAACGGAGGAGUACGAAGGUGCGCUCAGCGUGGUCGGAAAUCACGCGUAGAGUAUAAAGGCAAAAGCGCGCUUAACUGCGAGACCCACAAGUCGAGCAGGUACGAAGGUAGGUCUUAGUGAUCCGGUGGUUCUGUAUGGAAGGGCCAUCGCUCAACGGAUAAAAGGUACUCUGGGGAUAACAGGCUGAUACCGCCCAAGAGUUCAUAUCGACGGCGGUGUUUGGCACCUCGAUGUCGGCUCAUCUCAUCCUGGGGCUGAAGCAGGUCCCAAGGGGAUGGCUGUUCGCCAUUUAAAGAGGUACGCGAGCUGGGUUUAGAACGUCGUGAGACAGUUCGGUCCCUAUCUACCGUGGGCGCUGGAAAUUUGAGAGGAUCUGCUCCUAGUACGAGAGGACCAGAGUGGACGAACCUCUGGUGUACCGGUUGUGACGCCAGUCGCAUCGCCGGGUAGCUAUGUUCGGAAGGGAUAACCGCUGAAAGCAUCUAAGCGGGAAGCCUACCUCAAGAUAAGAUUUCCCUAGGACUUUAUGUCCUCUAAAGAGCCGUUCGAGACUAGGACGUUGAUAGGUUGGAUGUGGAAGCAUAGUGAUAUGUGAAGCUGACCAAUACUAAUUGCUCGUGAGGCUUGACUAU